UGGAGGCAGAAACUGAUGCAGAAGCCAU
rnacentral:piRNA from 1 species